AGAUUGCUUUGAUCUUUGCAAUAGUUGUAGUUGAUCAAGUCCAUGUCUUUGAUUAGACCAAAUGGAUGUUGAUUUAGGCUUCGUGGUUGAGCUUGAGUUAUGAUAUUGAUCGAAUUGAAAUUGAUAAACCAGUUGGUGUCAAAGGCAACUGUAAUCAGUAGGUUUUUAAUUGGGAGCUACUUGCUGGGUUUCAGUUCAGUUAAGUUAAUGGCAUACCCUUCCGCUGAUCUUACUUACCUGGCCAUCUUGGUGAAUCUCUUUUGAUCAGAUCUCUGAUUGACUCUAAUUAACCCAUGCCUGUAAGAAAAUCAGUUGGACUGAUUUAGGUGCACUGACUUGAAUCUAUUUCCUAUGAUACCUGACUUAUGAAGUCAGUGGGAGGAUUUGGAUUGAGUCAGUUUUUUAUUAUAAAAAUCCUCUAAAUUAUUAGGUCCAUAAAAUGAUAUGGUUAAUGGAGAUGACCACAUCAUAGCCUCCCAUUAGUUGUGUGAUAAUGAGUCCAAUGCAUCUAUAUACAUUGGAGGCGCGUGCGCGCACUGGUACGUAUCGGCCAUUGGAAUUGUCAUACAAUAAUGAUGAGUUAGUUGCAACUAUUGGAAUGGGUGGUCCGGUUGGAUACCGGCCAAAGUCGGGCUUGACCAUCUAUUAGAUAGUUUGCAUCGAUUACUACAUGUUAAUGGUUGGACCUAACCAGAACUUUCAGUAGUGUCGAUAUACGCCUGCUGAAGUGCUUUCUGGGGCAAAAUGAUCACUAGAAGUUGUUUAGUUGAAACAAUUUGUUAUGAACCUACCUUUAGGUGUAUUUGGGUUGAUACCGACCAAAGCCGGGCCCAGGUAUAGCCUAUUGGAUUCGAGUGCCCACUAAAGAAUUAAGAGUAAUUCUUCGGAUUAGAGGUAGAGGCUCCUGAUUCGUAUAAAAUAGUGGGAGGAUCUUUAGACUCAAAUCCAUGUCUUUAGAUUAAUUGAUUCAUUUACUAAUAAGGCCAUAGUUUUGUCCUUUAUGCAGAAAUGUCCUCUUAUAAGUUCCUCCUAUCACUAUUGGAUAGUGAUGAGCCGACUAGACCUUUGAUUAAGAAUCAGGCUAACUCGAGUGCUAAUGAGAGAAAUCAUCAAAGAGUUGCUGGUCAAGGUGGUUAUAUGAUAA
rnacentral:lncRNA from 1 species